UACGAACGCUGGCGGCGUGCCUAAUACAUGCAAGUCGAACGAACCGCGACUGAGUGCUUGCACUUGGUCAAGGUGAGUGGCGAACGGGUGAGUAACACGUGGGUAACCUACCUCAUAGUGGGGGAUAACAGUCGGAAACGACUGCUAAUACCGCAUAGGACAUAGGAUCACAUGAUCCAGUGAGGAAAGGUGGCGCAAGCUAUCGCUAAGAGAUGGACCCGCGGUGCAUUAGCUAGUUGGUAGGGUAAAGGCCUACCAAGGCGAUGAUGCAUAGCCGACCUGAGAGGGUGAUCGGCCACAUUGGGACUGAGACACGGCCCAAACUCCUACGGGAGGCAGCAGUAGGGAAUCUUCCGCAAUGGGCGCAAGUCUGACGGAGCAACGCCGCGUGAGUGAAGAAGGUCUUCGGAUCGUAAAGCUCUGUUGUUAGAGAAGAACAGCGCAUAGAGUAACUGCUAUGCGUGUGACGGUAUCUAACCAGAAAGCCACGGCUAACUACGUG
rnacentral:rRNA from 1 species